CUUUGGUUGUGUUCAUCAGAAAGAAGAAAGUCAUAUACACCUAGGAUGGCUUGAGGGCUCUCACUGUGUCGUCUACUGGGGGCCAGCUGCCCUCUGAUGACAUCACACACCCUUCCAGCUGCAGUACUGAUGGUGAUAGGAACAGAUGUUGGCUUUUGGGGGGGCCUCUGUCCUCGGACAGCCACAAAUUUCUCUACCCACCUCCAGUUACAGGGCCAAGAGUACUGUUGACAUCUGCUCUCAGCAUUUCACUCAUAAUAAAGCCUUUGGCCAGGACUAAAUUUGUGGGAAACCA